ACUAACAUAUUAGAUAAUGUGUUAUUGAAUUAGUUCUGAUGGAGAGAGCACUUUUAUGACGGAAAUAAUGAAAAUCUUCGAAUUUUAUUGAAGUUCCAUAAUGUCAUGGAGUUGCUCUCUAUAUCAGGUUAGUCCAAGCAUCAUAAUCUAUGUGGAUAA
rnacentral:pre_miRNA from 1 species